rnacentral:lncRNA from 1 species
AGAUGCUCCCAGGCUCUCCCGCAGUUUAAAGACUUAACUCAGCGGCUUUCAGGGCCUGUGGUUGAGGGACUCCGAAAGAACUGUUGCUGGUGGACCGGUUCAGGGUCUUGACUUCGCCACACAAAAGAACUUGAGAGCACGUCCAAAGUAAAGCUAAGACCUCUAGUACAGUGUUCAAUGGAACUGGUGAGAAAAGACGUCCUUGCUGUGUUCCUGAUAUGAAGAGGAAAGCAGUCCUUCUCCAUUAAAUGCUGACAACAUGAGCCUCCCGUGGUCGGAACGGGCUUGUGAAGGCGGUGCUGGGGUGCACCAGGGCAGCAGCUACAGAAUGCACCAGCUGGAGUCGACAUUAAAGGGCCCCAUUUCCCAUUUGCUGCAGAAGAUGUUUAAUUGGAAGUCUCUCCCUGUCCUUUUACCCUCUGGUGCUGGGCACCAAUGAGAAGCUCAUCUGGCCCCGGGAUCCUGGCAGGACACUGGGAGCACUAUUUCCAUGGGCAGCAGGGUUGUUCCUGGAGACAUCACUGACCCAGGACACCUAGCACAAUGGCACUCGAUGUGAAAGUGGCUUCGUACAAAUCUGCCACUCAAGCCUAAAUAAGUGCAUUCCAGAAGAGCCGCAGCCCCUCUAACAGCUCCUGAGGUGAGGGAAACCCUAGGGAUGGGAAGUUGGAGCAGAAAGAGAUGGUGGCCUGAAGUCAACUGCAGUGAAAAUCUCUCCCCAUCAGCAAGUUUUGCAAAGCUAUGGCCACAGGGACACAUGACUGGGGCCCCUCCUAGUCUUGGAAGGAGCCCCCAUGGAAAUGAGGGCCUCACAGUGAAUCCACCUCUGAUCCUACUUCACCUGCAGUCAAAUGAGAAGAGAUUUCAAUCAGCUAAAGACACCCUAUCCCCUCUCCCCGACCCCUGCGACCCCAGGAGCUCCUGCCUUGUCACUGUGUCCCCAAACGAACCGCAUCUGAAUCAAGCCCCUUUCUCUCCCUAGUGGUCAACAUCUGGGCUGUGAUGGGCAGCUCCCACUCUUGCCUUAGAAUAUGACUGGAGAGGUGACUUCUCAUCACAUGGAGAAUAUGUUCACCCCAUGGUGCUUUCCACCCAAGCUGACCAUGGCUUGACUUUUUGGUGUAGUUGCUAGCUCUGUGCCAUCCUUGGCAAUGUGACCCUGGAGCAGCUGUCCCCAGUGUGCAUUUGGGGGAUUUCAUGUAAUUAUGAAUAGGAUGCAAAUUUUAUAGCCCCAGUGAAGGGAAACACCCCUGGCGAGGCUUCCCGGGGCCAGAGAGAGGACUCCACUGAGGGAGAUGGUGGCAGGGCCAUUCUUUGUGUCCUGCUUUUUUUUUUUUUUUUUUUUUUAACAUCCUCUUUAUGUCCUGAGAGCCAUGUGCAGAUGAGGAAAAAUGACAUGCAAUGCAUUUUUGCCUGCCACAAUGACUUUGCAAUCAUAACAAGCAAAAUGUUCUAAACAGUAAGUGAAUCGAGGAAGAUAUACUGCCAAGUCAGGAAGAAAAAAUCCACCUGUUCAGUGAUUUCAGGAACUGCUGAAGAAAAUCACCAGAAAAUCAUACUGGUAGCCUUCAAGUGGCCAUGGUGGGAGCAUUGACCCAGGGAAAUCCACAUUUCCCAACACAUGCUGGAUACCUGAGGACUCCAGAGCUACUAUCUGCUCAUAUCUGCUCAACAUUAAAAAAAAAAAAAAAACCUCACAUUGUUAAGUGAAAAGGUUUAUUGGCAGAUUUGCUUAACUCAAUUUGCAAAGAUACCUUAGACCAGGGGUCGGCAAACUACAUUCCACAGAACGAAGCUGCCCAUUACUUGUCUUUUGUUUGUUUGUUUGUUUUGUUUUGUUUUGUUUUGAGAUGAAGUCUCGCUCUUGUUGCCCGGGCUGGAGUGCAAUGGUGUGAUCUCAGCUCACUGCAACCUCAACCUCCCUGGUUCAAGCAAUUCCCCUGCCUGAGCCUCCCAAGUAGCUGGGAUUACAGGCACAUGCCACCAUGCCCAACUGAUGUUUUUGUAUUUUUAGUAGAGAUGGGGUUUCACCAUGUUGGCCAGACUGGUCUCGAACUCCUGACCUCAGGUGAUCCACUGCCUCAGCCUCCCAAAGUGCUGGGAUUACAGGCGUGAUCCUAAGUACAGUUUUAUAGGACAACCAUGCUCAUUCAUUUCCGUAUCGUCCACGGCUGCUCUACAGCAGCAGAGUUUAGUGGUCAGGACAGAACCGGCACAACCUGCACAACCUGCACAACUUUCAAAGGCUGAAUAUUUACUCUCCGGCUCUUUAGAGAAAGUUUGCAACUCCUACUUUAGACUGAUGCUUCUCCAAUGCUAACGCGCCAGUCACCAAAUCACCGGCAUCUGGUCCCAGCCUCCAACCAUAAACCACAGCUGAAUGGAAACUUGGUAGCGCUUGCCUUCAAUAGCAGAUGCUGUAAGAGGAAAGCAAGGUGACCAAGAAAACAUUGCAAAACUCUGGGCAGAAUCUGGGGCCUGAAGACUCUGAGUCAGAGGCCUCUUUUUUUGCUCUAAACACAUAUUAGCAAGAGUCCAAGAGGCAUCAAAGAUGAGUUAGCAGCAAAAUGAGGCUUUGUCCUUCAUGUAGAAAGGAUUAAAUGAUAGUUGAAAAUGCAAUAACUUUCACCCUGUGGGAUUCAGUGAUGUUCAGUGCUGUGAUUAUGUCCAACUUCAAAUCUUGCUGUCCCAACUGGGACAGCCCAAACAUAGGGAGCCACUGCACUAAGAUGUUAUGAUUUAUUAAGAUAAUAAAGCUAGCGGGAUGACAAAUGUUUCAUUUUUCCCCCAUGUGUUUCCCCCAAAGGACCGUCUGCUUUUGCAUGUGAUUUGACUAUGCGCUGAGGACCUAGCGUGGUAUAUCAGCAAAGUGGAAAAGUGACUGAAGUGACUGUUUAUCAUCUUGUACCAAGUUACACCACUUUAAGCUUUAACUCCACAGCUCUUGCAUUAUUUUAAAACCGUCUGGCAGAUCUCUAAAACUAAUGGUACAAACCACUCUGUGAUACAUUAAAAUACAUCCCACUCUGUCAUACUGCAAACAAGUAGCUGCUCCCCAGUCUUUGAAAAAGUACUUUCAAGAUAAAAUAUGUACUCAUGGGUUCUGCAGGUUUUUAAAAAGUCUUGAAUCUUCACAGAUUUACUGGGGGGGAAGGGGCGUUUCAUGUAAAAUGUGUUUUUCCUUGACAUUUAGAGGUCUUGCAAAGUGGUUUAUUAUAGAUCUUGUGGACAUCUCGCUAUUUAAUUAAAUUUCAGAAAUAUAUUCUCUGCACUCAUAAGAAGGAAUAUGAAGAGUGUAUUUGUUCACUGUCUAUUUAUUAUUCGUUUUC